AGUCAACAGACUAACAGUGGGCCAACGUUGGCAAAUUGUCGGUCCGUUGGUCGACCGUUGGUGUUGGCUGCACAACAUUGGCCCAACGUUGGCAAAUUGUCGGUCCAUUGGUCGACAGUUGGUGUUGGCUGCACAACAUUGGCCCAACGUUGGCAAAUUUUCGGUCCGUUGGUCGCACUUUGGUGUUGGCUGCACAACAUUGGCCCAAUGUUGGCCUGCUGUUGUAAAUCCAUAUUAUUAUCUCAUGUUGGUUAUGAAUAAUCGGGCCAACGUUGGCAUUACGUUAGUAGCAACAUAGGGCCGAUAUGAAAUUUUGUUAAAAAAAUUGAUUAUGAAAUAUUUUACGCUUUAUUUCUCUUGGGAAGGCGGGUGAUUUCGAUUGCUGCAUGCUUUAUGAAAAGUUAAUGUUAUACCGAAAGGGUUCAUUAACUGAAAUUACAUUUACAACUCUAUGUUGGGCCAAUGCUGGGCCAACGUUGAUCCUAUAUUAUACUCUAUAUAUAACUCAGGUAAAAUUUAUACUGGAAUAUUAUUACUGUAAUAAAAAAAAAAUAUAUCGUUAACAUAGAUUGCCUGGUUAAAAGUUUAAAUUUAUUGCAAUCAUUAUUUAUUAUAACUUUAUUCAUUAAACUUUGUGAAACAUCAUAAUUUAGCAAUUAUAUACAGAGUGAUAUUUGAUACAGCCAGUCUGUUAAUCAAGCACAUUCUGAUAAGGUUGACCAUAUGUUAGACAAAUUUCAAAGAUAGUUGCUAUGGUAAUUAAGUUUAUAGGAAAUCUGAAUGUAAUGGGAUGGUCACUUUUGUGUUUAUUUCCUGUUGUGUAUUUGUAAGAAAGCAGUGAAACGAAGAAAACAAAAAGAGAAAAUCAUAUUAUCUGAGGUUCAAAGAAAAAGAAAGUGACAUGUUAGGUAUUUGAGUACUACAGAAGACAAAAUAAUUCAGAGGGCAAAAAUAUAAUACAGAGCUAGGAAUAAUAGAAAUUAUUGACAACAUCCUGGCUAGAAAAUGCAUGGGAAUGGAGAUGGGAAAAAAUGCAUUCUACCAUUUGAUAGCCCAGAAUGAAUAAGUUUAAGAAAAGGUACAUGUAGUGAAAUAACUUUUAUGAAGAUAUGCUAAACUGGAUAUUAAAAGGAUGUAACAUUAGACGGAGCCAGAAAUAGUGACAAAACAAAGUGUAGCAGAAAACAAAAGGAAAACUCUUGUGAAUAAAAACCAUGUUGGAAUACAGAACUAGAAAAAUAGCUGUAUAAAAUAAAUUAUCAAGGCCGUCAUACAGAGCUUGGAUAUUACAACAUAAACUGAUCGAUAUUAUACAAAUGGGAUAAAUGAAUUAUCAUGAAUAGACUUUAAAAUGUUUAUUCUAUAGAUCUGAUUUAGCAACGUAUAGAUACAAAAAAAGACUUUUUUUUAAUUUGCUGGUUGUCUAGCUAAUAAUAAAUUAUAUUUAAUCAUA